rnacentral:rRNA from 1 species
UUAAGCGACUAAGCGUACACGGUGGAUGCCCUGGCAGUCAGAGGCGAUGAAGGACGUGCUAAUCUGCGAAAAGCGUCGGUAAGGUGAUAUGAACCGUUAUAGCCGGCGAUGUCCGAAUGGGGAAACCCAGUGCAAUUCGUUGCACUAUCGUUAACUGAAUACAUAGGUUAACGAGGCGAACCGGGGGAACUGAAACAUCUAAGUACCCCGAGGAAAAGAAAUCAACCGAGAUUCCCCCAGUAGCGGCGAGCGAACGGGGAGCAGCCCAGAGUCUGAAUCAGCUUGUGUGUUAGUGGAACGGUCUGGAAAGUCCGACGGUACAGGGUGAUAGUCCCGUACACCAAAAUGCACAGGCUGUGAACUCGAAGAGUAGGGCGGGACACGUGGUAUCCUGUCUGAAUAUGGGGGGACCAUCCUCCAAGGCUAAAUACUCCUGACUGACCGAUAGUGAACCAGUACCGUGAGGGAAAGGCGAAAAGAACCCCGGCGAGGGGAGUGAAAAAGAACCUGAAACCGUGUACGUACAAGCAGUGGGAGCACCUUCGGGUGUGACUGCGUACCUUUUGUAUAAUGGGUCAGCGACUUAUAUUCUGUAGCAAGGUUAACCGUAUAGGGGAGCCGCAGGGAAACCGAGUCUUAACUGGGCGUUAAGUUGCAGGGUAUAGACCCGAAACCCGGUGAUCUAGCCAUGGGCAGGUUGAAGGUUGGGUAACACUAACUGGAGGACCGAACCGACUAAUGUUGAAAAAUUAGCGGAUGACUUGUGGCUGGGGGUGAAAGGCCAAUCAAACCGGGAGAUAGCUGGUUCUCCCCGAAAGCUAUUUAGGUAGCGCCUCGUGAAUUCAUCUUCGGGGGUAGAGCACUGUUUCGGCUAGGGGGUCAUCCCGACUUACCAACCCGAUGCAAACUACGAAUACCGAAGAAUGUUAUCACGGGAGACACACGGCGGGUGCUAACGUCCGUCGUGAAGAGGGAAACAACCCAGACCGCCAGCUAAGGUCCCAAAGUCAUGGUUAAGUGGGAAACGAUGUGGGAAGGCACAGACAGCCAGGAUGUUGGCUUAGAAGCAGCCAUCAUUUAAAGAAAGCGUAAUAGCUCACUGGUCGAGUCGGCCUGCGCGGAAGAUGUAACGGGGCUAAACCAUGCACCGAAGCUGCGGCAGCGACACUAUGUGUUGUUGGGUAGGGGAGCGUUCUGUAAGCCUGCGAAGGUGACCUGUGAGGGUUGCUGGAGGUAUCAGAAGUGCGAAUGCUGACAUAAGUAACGAUAAAGCGGGUGAAAAGCCCGCUCGCCGGAAGACCAAGGGUUCCUGUCCAACGUUAAUCGGGGCAGGGUGAGUCGACCCCUAAGGCGAGGCCGAAAGGCGUAGUCGAUGGGAAACAGGUUAAUAUUCCUGUACUUGGUGUUACUGCGAAGGGGGGACGGAGAAGGCUAUGUUAGCCGGGCGACGGUUGUCCCGGUUUAAGCAUGUAGGCUGGUUGUCCAGGCAAAUCCGGAUAAUCAAGGCUGAGGUGUGAUGACGAGGCACUACGGUGCUGAAGUAACAAAUGCCCUGCUUCCAGGAAAAGCCUCUAAGCAUCAGGUAACAUCAAAUCGUACCCCAAACCGACACAGGUGGUCAGGUAGAGAAUACCAAGGCGCUUGAGAGAACUCGGGUGAAGGAACUAGGCAAAAUGGUGCCGUAACUUCGGGAGAAGGCACGCUGGUGUGUAGGUGAAGCCCCUGCGGGUGGAGCUGAGACCAGUCGAAGAUACCAGCUGGCUGCAACUGUUUAUUAAAAACACAGCACUGUGCAAACACGAAAGUGGACGUAUACGGUGUGACGCCUGCCCGGUGCCGGAAGGUUAAUUGAUGGGGUUAUCCGUAAGGAGAAGCUCUUGAUCGAAGCCCCGGUAAACGGCGGCCGUAACUAUAACGGUCCUAAGGUAGCGAAAUUCCUUGUCGGGUAAGUUCCGACCUGCACGAAUGGCGUAAUGAUGGCCAGGCUGUCUCCACCCGAGACUCAGUGAAAUUGAACUCGCUGUGAAGAUGCAGUGUACCCGCGGCAAGACGGAAAGACCCCGUGAACCUUUACUAUAGCUUGACACUGAACAUUGAGCCUUGAUGUGUAGGAUAGGUGGGAGGCUUUGAAGCGUGGACGCCAGUCUGCGUGGAGCCAACCUUGAAAUACCACCCUUUAAUGUUUGAUGUUCUAACGUUGGCCCCUGACCGGGGUUGCGGACAGUGUCUGGUGGGUAGUUUGACUGGGGCGGUCUCCUCCCAAAGCGUAACGGAGGAGCACGAAGGUUAGCUAAUCCUGGUCGGACAUCAGGAGGUUAGUGCAAUGGCAUAAGCUAGCUUGACUGCGAGCGUGACGGCGCGAGCAGGUGCGAAAGCAGGUCAUAGUGAUCCGGUGGUUCUGAAUGGAAGGGCCAUCGCUCAACGGAUAAAAGGUACUCCGGGGAUAACAGGCUGAUACCGCCCAAGAGUUCAUAUCGACGGCGGUGUUUGGCACCUCGAUGUCGGCUCAUCACAUCCUGGGGCUGAAGUAGGUCCCAAGGGUAUGGCUGUUCGCCAUUUAAAGUGGUACGCGAGCUGGGUUUAGAACGUCGUGAGACAGUUCGGUCCCUAUCUGCCGUGGGCGCUGGAGAAUUGAGGGGGGCUGCUCCUAGUACGAGAGGACCGGAGUGGACGCAUCACUGGUGUUCGGGUUGUCAUGCCAAUGGCACUGCCCGGUAGCUAAAUGCGGAAGAGAUAAGUGCUGAAAGCAUCUAAGCACGAAACUUGCCCCGAGAUGAGUUCUCCCUGAGACUUUAAGUCUCCUGAAGGAACGUU